GCCUCAGUAACGGCGAGUGAAGCGGCAACAGCUCAAAUUUGAAAUCUGGCCCCCCUCUGGGGGGUCCGAGUUGUAAUUUGCAGAGGGCGCUUUGGCAUCGGCGGCGGUCUAAGUUCCUUGGAACAGGACAUCGCAGAGGGUGAGAAUCCCGUACGUGGGCGCCUGCCUUUGCCGUGUAAAGCCCCUUCGACGAGUCGAGUUGUUUGGGAAUGCAGCUCUAAAUGGGAGGUAAAUUUCUUCUAAAGCUAAAUACCGGCCAGAGACCGAUAGCGCACAAGUAGAGUGAUCGAAAGAUGAAAAGUACUUUGGAAAGAGAGUCAAAUAGCACGUGAAAUUGUUGAAAGGGAAGCGCUUGCAGCCAGACGUGCGCGCGGUUGCUCACCCCGGCUCUCGCCUGGGGCACUCUUCCGCGCGCAGGCCAGCAUCAGUUCGGGCGGUCGGAUAAAGGCCUCUGUCAAGUACCUUCCCCCGGGAAGGCCUUAUAGGGGAGGCGCAAUGCGACCAGCCCGGACUGAGGUCCGCGCAUCUGCUAGGAUGCUGGCGUAAUGGCUGUAAGCGGCCCGUCUUGAAACACGGACCAAGGAGUCUAACAUCUAUGCGAGUGUUUGGGUGUCAAGCCCGGGCGCGCAAUGAAAGUGAACGGAGGUGGGAUCCCCUUCCGGGGUGCACCAUCGACCGAUCCUGAUGUCUUCGGAUGGAUUUGAGUAAGAGCAUAGCUGUUGGGACCCGAAAGAUGGUGAACUAUGCUUGAAUAGGGUGAAGCCAGAG
rnacentral:rRNA from 1 species